AGUAAACGCUGGCGGCGUGCUUAACACAUGCAAGUCGAACGAGAACGGAAUAUAGCUUGCUAUAUUUGUCAGCUAAGUGGCGCACGGGUGAGUAAUAUAUAGAUAACCUGCCCUUAAGAAAGGAAUAACAGUUGGAAACGACUGCUAAUGCCCUAUAUGCCUUUAAUACAUAAGUAUGCAAGGGAAACGCUUUAGUGCUUAAGGAUGGGUCUGUAUGGUAUCAGCUUGUUGGUGAGGUAAUGGCUCACCAAGGCUAUGACGCCUAACUGGGUUGAGGGGAUGGACAUGCACACUGGAACUGAGACACGGUCCAGACUCCUACGGAAGGCAGCAGUGGGGAAUAUUGCACAAUGGACGAAAGUCGGAUGCAGCAACGCCGCGUGGAGGAUGACACAUUUCAGUGCGUAAACUCCUUUUAUAUAGGAAGAUAAUGACGGUACUAUAUGAAUAAGCACCGGCUAACUCCGUGCCAGCAGCCGCAGACA
rnacentral:rRNA from 1 species